rnacentral:rRNA from 1 species
GGGUCAGUAGGUUGGUCGUGCCACCGGUACGUACUGGUCUCACUGAUUCCUCCUUCCUGAAGAACCGUAAUGCCAUUAAUUUGGUGUUGCGGGGAAACAGGACUGUUACUUUGAAAAAAUUAGAGUGUUUAAAGCAAGCUAACGCUUGAAUACAUUAGCAUGGAACAAUGAAAUAGGACGAUCGAUCCUAUUUUGUUGGUUUCUAAGAUUGACGUA